AGUGAACGCUGGCGGUAGGCCUAACACAUGCAAGUCGAACGGCAGCACAGUAAGAGCUUGCUCUUACGGGUGGCGAGUGGCGGACGGGUGAGGAAUACAUCGGAAUCUACUUUUUCGUGGGGGAUAACGUAGGGAAACUUACGCUACUACCGCAUACGACCUACGGGUGAAAGCAGGGGAUCUUCGGACCUUGCGCGAGUGAAUGAGCCGAUGUCGGAUUAGCUAGUUGGCGGGGUAAAGGCCCACCAAGGCGACGCUCCGUAGCUGGUCUGAGAGGAUGACCAGCCACACUGGACCUGAGACACGGUCCAGACUCCUACGGGAGGCAGCAGUUGGGAAUAUUGGACAAUGGGCGCAAGCCUGAUCCAGCCAUACCGCGUGGGUGAAGAAGGCCUUCGGGUUGUAAAGCCCUUUUGUUGGGAAAGAAAAGCAGCAGGUUAAUACCCCGCUGUUCUGACGGUACCCAAAGAAUAAGCACCGGCUAACUUCGUG
rnacentral:rRNA from 1 species